AGAGUGAUCAAUUGUCCUGGUUUGCCUGGGACAGAGGGGCUGUCCAGGACAUGUCCAGUGC
rnacentral:miRNA from 1 species